rnacentral:lncRNA from 1 species
CUGAAAACAGCUGCACAAACCCCCAAAACUUGGAAUGGUACAUUCUCCACAUUGGAAGCAGACAUUAACCUUAACAAAGAGUUUAAAACUCAAGUAAUUGGCCAGGAUCAUGAGCAAGCAGCACAAAAAGAGUCAGACUAUAUUAUCUUACUUUGGUGAAAAAGAAGAUCAAAAUAUACAACCAGAAGAAAACAACAAAGUCAAAGCCACUACAUCCAAAGCCUCCAAGAAAAAUAUGAAUCAGUCCCAGGCCUUGGAAGAGCUCAAAAGGGAUUUUGAAAAGCAAAUAAGAGAAGUAGAGGAGAUAAUGGGAAGAGAAAUGAGAGUGAUACAAGACAAUCAUGAAAAACAAGUCAACAGCUUGCUAAAGGAGACCCAAAAAAGUACUGAAGAAAAUAACACCUCAAAAAAUAGCCUAACCCAAAUGGCAAAAGAGGUCCAAGAAGCCAAUGAGAAGAAUGCCCUAAAAAACAAAAUUGGCCAAAUGGAAAAGGAAGUCCAAAAGCUUACUGAAGAAAAUAGUUCCUUAAAAAUUGGAGUACAGCAAUUGCAAGCUAGUAUCUUUAUGAGAAAUCAAGACACUAUAAAACAAAUCCAAAAGAAUGAAAAAAUGGAAGAUAAUGUGAAAUAUCUCAUUGGAGAAACAACUGACCUGGAAAAUAGAUCCAGGAGAGAGAAUUUAAAAAUUAUUGGAUUAUCUGAAGGCCAUGAUCAAAAAAAGAUCCUAGACAUCACCUUUCAAGAAACUAUCAAGUUAAGCUGCCCUGAUAUUUUAGAACCAGAGGGCAAAAUUGAAAUUGAGAGAAUCUGCCGAUUUCCUCCUGAAAGAGAUCCCCAAAGGAAAACUCCCAGGAAUAUUGUCGCCAAAUUCCAGAGUUCCCAGGUCAAGGAGAAAAUAUUAUAGCUGCCAGAAAGAAACAAUUCAAGUACUGUGGAAACACUAUCAGGAUAACACAAGAUUUAGCAGCUUCCACAUUAAAGGACCUCAGGGCAUGGAAUAUAAUAUUCCAGAGGGCAAAGGAGAUAGGAUUACAACCAAGAAUCACCUACUCAGAAAAACUGAGUAUAAUCCUUCAGGGUAAAAAAAUGGUCAUUCAGUGAAAUAGAGGACUUUCAAGCAUUCUUGAUGAA